CCAAUAGCGUAUAUUAAAGUUGUUGCAGUUAAAAAGCUCGUAGUUGAAUUUCGGGAUUCUUCCGUUGGUCAGGCUAACCAGUCUGUACUAGCGUGUAGAAUUUCUACCUUCUGGGGAACCAUCAUGUUAUUAAUUUAGCGUGGUGGGAAACCAGGACCUUUACCUUGAAAAAAUUAGAGUGUUCAAAGCAGGCUUACGUCUGAAUACAUUAGCAUGGAAUAAUAAAAUAGGACGGUGGUCCUGUUUUGUUGGUUUCUGAAUCACCGUAAUGAUUAAUAGGGAUAGUUGGGGGCAUUAGUAUUCAAUUGUCAGAGGUGAAAUUCUUGGAUUUAUUGAAGACUAACUUCUGCGAAAGCAUUUGCCAAGGAUGUUUUCAUUAAUCAAGAACGAAAGUUAGGGGAUCGAAGACGAUCAGAUACCGUCGUAGUCUUAACCAUAAACUAUGCCGACUAGGGAUCGGACGAUGUUAAAUUUUAUUGACUCGUUCGGCGCCUUACG
rnacentral:rRNA from 1 species